GACACAACUCCCUGAGGUAGUUGCACUUUCUUCAGAAAGGACGCGGUCUUUCAUAGCCUGGCUGAGGGACAACAGACCUUUAAGCCCAGUUCUUCAAGUAAUAAAAGAUGAAACUCCUGCCAAGACAGAGUUUUUUCAGCAUUUAAUUGAAGAUCGGACAGAAGCAGCUUUCUCUUAUUAUGAAUUCUUACUUCAUAUUCAGCAGCAGAUUUGUAAAUGAGCAAGGAGUAAACUAGAAGAAAAAUCCUGACUCCAGAUAGAAGCAUUGGCUGAGAGAAGUAUAUGGAAAGUUACAAAAGUGGAUGUUUGUUCUUCACAGUAUACAGUAAUCGGCACUGGUUUGGAAACUUUACAGCUAAAGAAGAAGAUGUAUACAUUUCCAGAAGAGUUUUGCAGAUUUAUUUCAGUCUAAAAGUGCUAGGAAUGGUGAAGCUGUUUUCAGUAGUAAAUUUUAAAGUGGUUUAUCCACGUUUCCAGUAGUGCGGCGGUAUGGUGCUCUGUUUAUUGCAAGCCGGUGAUUCUAUGUAGCUAUGUGGGAUGAUAUUUCUUAAUGAAAUGUACAAUUAGGUAAAGCCUUUUUUUUCUUACAUUUAUUAUGGUAGCCCUUCAAGAUUCAAAUUCUUAACAGAGAUGUCAAAGGGCAGUGCUGUAUGUUGGUUGUUUAUAUGAAUUUCUUCUUAAAAGAAACAAUUCAUAUUUAGUAAAGACUCAGCGAAUUCCCUUUGAAAGUUGUAGAAUUUCACUAAAGUAAAUGAAUUGUAGAAAUAAAAUAUAUAAUGUACAUAAGUAUUACAUUUGUAAAGAAAAUGUAAAAAUGUAACUAAAAAAAAGACAGCUCAGUGUGCUGAAUUGUUGAGUGUUCAAUGAUGAAUUGUUUCAGUCCCAAGCUAGACAGUGAAGUUGACUAUUAAAACAUGCUUAAAAAAAAAUCCAUGUAGAAGGAACACAGCUUCUUGUUCUGUUUAAUUUUUAGGUGGAUUUAUUUAUGAUUGGCUUACUAAUUAAAAAUAUUUUGCUUUAU